CCCUUAGAUGUUCUGGGCCGCACGCGCGCUACACUGAUGAAUUCAACGAGCACUAACCUGUGCCGAAAGGUUCGGGUAAUCUUGUGAAAUUUCAUCGUGAUGGGGAUUGAUUAUUGCAAUUUUUAAUCAUAAACGAGGAAUGCCUAGUAGGCGCAAGUCAUCAGCUUGCGUCGAUUACGUCCCUGCCCUUUGUACACACCGCCCGUCGCUCCUACCGAUUGGGUGUGCUGGUGAAAUGUUCGGAUCGGCCGUUUGUCGCGGUUUCCGCGUCAUGUGGCUGAGAAGUUCAUUAAACCCUCCCACCUAGAGGAAGGAGAAGUCGUAACA
rnacentral:rRNA from 1 species